rnacentral:tRNA from 11 species
CGUGGCCUAGUGGCAAAGAAACCAGGCUAAUAACCUGAAGGUCACAGGGUUCGAGCCCGGG